UACAAAACGGACUUCAUCAUUUGUUAUAGAAGAUUGAUUCUUGACCUAAAAGGUUAGUUUUAAACUCGUAAAUUAUUUUGAAAUAUACAAAACAAUUGAAAUAACCGGUGUUAUCAAAAGAACUCCAAACGGAACGAGACCUGUUUGACAGUGCUUACGUCUGCUACUAUAAGUAUUGGCUACUUGAGAACUAUUCUAAAUGUUCGACUACAAACAUAUUUUUCGUAAGAAACAAGUUUACAUUCAAGAUAAGGAACAAAACUUUUACAAGAAAAUAGCACCCAUUUUUCAACCUUAAAGAAAACUUAGCAUUCAGUGAUCAUCACACAAAAUAAGAAAACACAUCAAAUAUAAAAUAUAAAUAUCAACUUUUGUACAUUAUUGUUUAUCAAUUUUGUAUUCUUCAUUAGAGACUUAAAGUAUUAUUUGAAUACUCAUUAAAUGUUGAUCUUUCAACAUUUUGAUGAAUUAUGAUUAUCUUUUUCUAUAUAUUUUACUUCUUUUUUAUAAGAGGCGGUAUUUCCAUGGGCAGCUCCGUAAAUGAUGGCAGCGGCAACAUUUGGUUGGAUGAUCUCAGGUGUAAAGGUUCAGAAAAGAAACUGGCCGAAUGCAGAAGAAAUGCUUGGGGAAAUCAUGAUUGUCAUCAUUCUGAAGAUGUUGGGAUACGUUGUGACAGUUUUGGUCGAGUACAAGACGUGGGUUUCUGGGGUGAUUGGUUGGAUUGGUCGGUAUGCUCGACAAGUUGUGGUAGAGGAAUACAAAAGCGACAACGAUACUGUGACAGCCCACCACCAUAUUUGGGUGGAAGUUACUGCUCUGGAUUGCCGCUCGAAAGUCGUUCCUGCAAUAACAUGUGUUGUCCAAGUACCUGGUCUGAAUGGAGCACCUGUCCAGUUAGUUGUGGUGGUGGUAUUCAACAAAGAUUAAGAGAUUGUCACAUUCAAUCAUCAAUUUGGGAAGAAUCCUAUUGUAAUGUGUCAAAGGAAAGUCGGUUGUGUAGCAAUACAUGUUGUCCUGGUAAUUAAUACCAAUUUGUGGAAGGAAUGUUUACAAAAAAUAAUGUACAUAUUACGUAAAUUCCAUUAAACAAUAGUAUUAAGAAACAUUUAAAACCAGGCUAAGUGUAAUUAGUGAAGGUUUCUAUAGACAUGGGAAUCCAUUGGUUUUGACAAAUUAUAGCUAUUAUUUUGAUAAUACGCAGUCAUUACUGUUAUUUAAGUUAAUCACAUGUCAACUAAAUUGUUUGAAAAGUUUGGUUUUUUUUUCAGUAAAAAUCAAUAAUCAAAACUAUAUUCCAUAUAAUUCCUAUCUUUAUAAUG